rnacentral:rRNA from 1 species
UACAGAGGUGGCAAGCGUUGUUCGGAAUUACUGGGCGUAAAGGGCGCGUAGGCGGUCUUGUAAGUCUUGUGUGAAAUCCCUCGGCUUAACUGAGGAACUGCACGAGAUACUGCGAGACUUGAGUUCGGGAGAGGAAAGCGGAAUUCCGGGUGUAGCGGUGAAAUGCGCAGAUAUCAGGAGGAACACCGGUGGCGAAGGCGGGUCUCUGGGCCGAUACUGACGCUGAGGAGCGAAAGCGUGGGGAGCAAACAGG